rnacentral:lncRNA from 1 species
AAUAAUAAUAAUAAUAAUAAUAAUAAUAAUUAUAAUAAUAAUAAUAAUAAUAAUAAUAAUAAUAAUAAUAAUAAUAAUNNNNNNNNNNAUAAUAAUAAUAAUAAUAAUAAUAAUAAUAAUAAUAAUAAUAAUAAUCUUGGUACUACUACCAAUAACAAUACCAAUCAAAACAAAACACAUGUAGAAGAAAAGGUCAACACACAACUAGGUAUUAAAAUAUCAAAUGUAACAAACUUAAAUAUAUUUUCCUCCAAAUCUGGAUCAACAAACAACACAAAAGAUGAAAAAAUAAACCAAGAAAUUAGAAAUAAAGCAGAAGAUGCGUCAAAAAUAAAAAAAAUAAUCAAAAAUACAAUGAAAUAAUGUAUAUUUUAAAGAUUUUUGCUAAUUGUUUAGCAUGUCAAGAUCUUAAUUAUAAUUCAUUUUCUGUUUUAUAUUUUAUGUAUAAAAAUUUAUUACAAAAUAUUAUGAAAAUAUGUUUUAAUUUUACAUAUGUUGUAAGUACUGAGUUUUUUUUUUUCAAUGACGGUAUAAAUUUAAUGUCAGUCGAAAAUUUAAAAAGAGAGCAGAUACCAAGUACUUUAUUAUUUGAUAGUAUAAGAGCUUUUACAAAUAUUAAAUCUUAUUAUAAAUAUUUUUAUCGUAUGUUAAAAAAGGAACAUGAUGAAAUAAAAGCCGAAACCAAAAAAGAAACCAAAACAGAAACCAAAAAAGAGAUAAAAAAAGAACCCCUUUUGUUGAAAAGCUUGCAUAUGUAUGUGAUACAACAAGAGGAGGUAAAUCGUGAAAAGAGUGACAAGAGUAGUUAUAGUAACAUUAGUGGUAAUGAAACUAGUGACAAUAACAUACUGUGUGGAAGUCAGAAAGAACAAUGGCAGGAAAGAAAACCAUUUGAUAUAUUCCUGGAAAAAGUAGAAAACCUGUUAAUCAAUAAUAAGGAUUUUAAAGAAGUAAAAAAACAUGAUAAACAUUCACUAUUAUUGCUCUCAACUAAACAUAAAAAAAAAAAGUUAUUACUAGGUGAACACGUAUAUAUGAUAAGUAAAUAUAAUAAACUUUUUUAUGACUUAGACGAUAAAUUGUUAGCCAUUUAUAUUUAUAUAAAACAAUGUCAAGUAGAUAAAAACAAAUUAUUGAAAAGAAUAAACAAGAACGCAGUUUUGAAACAAAACGAAUUGACAUGCAAAGAGACAGCGAUAAUUAAAAGUGGCUCAGGUAUUGGUAAGAGUAGGAGCAAGGGUAAAAAAACAGACAAAAAAAAAAUUGACCUGGUUUUUGUCCACGGUUUACGGGGUCAUGCUCUUCGUACAUGGAGAUUUUUAAAUUAUUAUAAUCAUAUGUCAGAUCGUUACUAUUAUCACAAAAAACCUAGUUAUAAAAUUAAAAAGAAAAAGAAAAAAAAGAAUAUGUUACACAUCAAGGCCGAAAAUGAUAUUGAUGAUGAUUUUGUUAACCUAAGUAGCAAUAAAAAUGGUAUUGAAAAUAAAGAUUUGUACCAUGUCGAACGUAAAGAUGUUGAUCAAAAUAACAAAAUUAUAACUCCUAGUAUGGACACUUAUAAUAAUGAUAAUAAUAAUAAAAUUCCAAAUAAGACUCGAUCUAGUAUGAUUUAUGUAAAAAACAAUGAAACAACAAACCAGAAAACAAAUGAUGACCAUUUUUUACUUAAAUUAAGAAAUGAAACGAAAGAAAAACACAAUGAACAACUUUUUAAUAGUAAAAAUCAAACAAGAAAUAUAAAAGAUAAAAAGAAUGUCAUUUUAUUUGACGAAACAAGAAAACAAAUCCGAGCACAUAUAAAAAUAAAAAAUAAUUUUAAUUUUUCAAUAAAAAAAGAGUUGAUAGAUACAUUAUUAUUAAGAUAUAAACGUAAUCAAAAUAUUAUACCUGCGUAUACAUCUAAUAAAGAAUAUAUGAAUAAAAAGUUAUUUAAAUUCUUAUUUUUAAAAAAAGAUAGCUUAAAAAUGGAUAUGGAAUGCUUUAAUGGAGAAUAUUCAUAUCAAAUAUGGCCUUUUUAUUUAUUAUUCCCACGUAAACAAAAUUUAAAUAUUUUUCUUAUUAAUUACCAUUCACCAUUAUACCCUGAAGGAAAUUAUUAUACCAAGAUGAGAUGCAUGAAAGAGAAAAAAAAAAAAAAAAGGAAAGAGGAGGGGGAGAGCCUUAACAGUGCCCUUGUUAGUAGUAGUGGUAGUAUUAGUAGUAGUGGUAGUAGUAGUAGUAGUGGUAUUAGUAGUAGUAGUGGUAAUAAUAAAAAAAACACAGUUAAUGAGUAUAAUCAAAAUCAAAGUACCAACAUUGAUAUUAAUAACAAUGAAACUGACAACAAUGGAAUUGACAACAAUGGAAUUGACAACAAUGGAACUGACAGUAGUGAAACUAACAGUAGUGAAACUAACAGUAGUGCUUUUUUUCACUACCUAAAAUCGUUUAACUUUAUUUUUAAGGCAUUUGAUGAAGUAACAAAAGAAAAAAAAAUGGAACAGGAAAAAAAUUAUUAUUAUACUGAUAGAAUGACGUUAAAUGAAUUAUCUAAAUUUUUAUAUAAGACAUUGAAAAGUGUAAAUAUAGGACUAGCGAAUGACAUAGUAUUUGUAUCUCAUUCAAUGGGAGCUAUAUUAACACAAGAUGUCCUGUCAAAAAAUGAUAAUCUUUUAAAUAAAACGAAAUAUUUUUUUUGUUAUGCAGCUCCACAUUUUGGAUCUACUUUAGCAAUGACAGCAUUCCCUAUUAAAAACUUUUUAUCACCAUAUGUGUCUCAGCUUAAUAAUUAUAACACACAGCUGACAAAUAUACAAUCUAAUUUUAAAGAAAAAAUUAAAAAUAAAAAUAUCAAAAUUUAUUCAUUUGGUGAGACUAAUAAAACGCCCUUGCCAAUAAUAGGUAAAAAAAAAAAAAAGACA